UAUGAACACCAAAUUACUAAACCUCAAUACCCCGUCCGGUAUGAGGGUGAAGCGGGCCGUCCUCAUACCCUGUCUGGUAUGAGUGUCAAAUUACCAAAUCUCGAUACUCCGUCCGGUAUGAGACAACGUUCGCGGUAGGGUUUCCUAUGUAUCCGAUCUGUCCACCAUCUCUCAGAAUAUUCAGUAAGGCUGCCGUUUCAU
rnacentral:lncRNA from 1 species